AGAGUUUGAUCUGGCUCAGGAUAAACGCUGGCGGCGUGCCUAACACAUGCAAGUCGAACGAUCCCGCAAGGGAGAGUGGCGGAAGGGUGAGUAACACGUGGGAAUCUACCUCCUCGCAGGGAACAACCUCUCGAAAGAGAGGCUAAUACCCAAAAGGGUCAGAAAUGAUCAGAGUCGAAAGGCGUGAGGAGAGGAGCCCGCGGCCCAUCAGCUAGUUGGUGAGGUAAUGGCUUACCAAGGCUACGACGGGUAGGGGAUCUGAGAGGAUGUCCCCCACACUGGAACUGAAACACGGUCCAGACGCCUACGGGUGGCAGCAGUGAGGAAUAUUGGACAAUGGGCGAAAGCCCGAUCCAGCAACGCCGCGUGGAGGAUGAAGGCCUUCGGGUCGUAAACUUCUUUAGAGGGAGACGAGAAAGGACGGUAUCCCUAGAAUAAGCGACGGCAAACUACGUG
rnacentral:rRNA from 1 species